rnacentral:rRNA from 1 species
UACGUAGGGGCAAGCGUUGUCCGGAAUCAUUGGGCGUAAAGAGCGUGUAGGCGGCUCGGUAAGUCCGCUGUGAAAGUCCAGGGCUCAACCCUGGAAUGCCGGUGGAAACUGUCGAGCUAGAGUCCGGAAGAGGCGAGUGGAAUUCCUGGUGUAGCGGUGAAAUGCGCAGAUAUCAGGAGGAACACCAAUGGCGAAGGCAGCUCGCUGGGACGGUACUGACGCUGAGACGCGAAAGCGUGGGGAGCGAACAGG